rnacentral:rRNA from 1 species
UACGAAGGGGGCUAGCGUUGUUCGGAAUUACUGGGCGUAAAGCGCACGUAGGCGGUCUUUUAAGUCGGGGGUGAAAUCCUGGAGCUCAACUCCAGAACUGCCUUCGAUACUGGAAGACUCGAGUCCGGGAGAGGUGAGUGGAAUUCCCAGUGUAGAGGUGAAAUUCGUAGAUAUUGGGAAGAACACCGGUGGCGAAGGCGGCUCACUGGCUCGUAACUGACGCUCAUGCACGACAGCGUGGGGAUCAAACAGG